rnacentral:rRNA from 1 species
UUUGGUUAAGUUAGAAAGGGCGCACGGUGGAUGCCUUGACACUAGGAGUCGAUGAAGGACGGGACUAACGCCGAUAUGCUUCGGGGAGCUGUAAGUAAGCUUUGAUCCGAAGAUUUCCGAAUGGGGAAACCCACCAUACGUAAUGGUAUGGUAUCCUUAUCUGAAUACAUAGGGUAAGGAAGACAGACCCAGGGAACUGAAACAUCUAAGUACCUGGAGGAAGAGAAAGCAAAUGCGAUUUCCUGAGUAGCGGCGAGCGAAACGGAACAUAGCCCAAACCAAGAGGCUUGCCUCUUGGGGUUGUAGGACAUUCUAUACGGAGUUACAAAGGAACGAGGUAGACGAAGCGACCUGGAAAGGUCCGUCGUAGAGGGUAACAACCCCGUAGUCGAAACUUCGUUCUCUCUUGAAUGUAUCCUGAGUACGGCGGAACACGUGAAAUUCCGUCGGAAUCUGGGAGGACCAUCUCCCAAGGCUAAAUACUCCCUAGUGAUCGAUAGUGAACCAGUACCGUGAGGGAAAGGUGAAAAGCACCCCGGAAGGGGAGUGAAAGAGAUCCUGAAACCGUGUGCCUACAAAUAGUCAGAGCCCGUUAAUGGGUGAUGGCGUGCCUUUUGUAGAAUGAACCGGCGAGUUACGAUCCCGUGCGAGGUUAAGCUGAAGAGGCGGAGCCGCAGCGAAAGCGAGUCUGAAUAGGGCGUUUAGUACGUGGUCGUAGACCCGA